rnacentral:tRNA from 1 species
UCUCUGGUGGCUCAGAGGUUAAAGCAUCUGCCUGGAAUGCAGGACAACUGGGUUCAAUCCCUGGGUUGGGAA